GAUCAUGGCUCAGGAUGAACGCUAGCUACAGGCUUAACACAUGCAAGUCGAGGGGCGAGCAUGGUCUUAGCUUGCUAAGGCCGAUGGCGGCCGGCGCACGGGUGAGUAACACGUAUCCAACCUGCCGUCUACUCUUGGACAGCCUUCUGAAAGGAAGAUUAAUACAAGAUGGCAUCAUGAGUUCCGCAUGUUCACAUGAUUAAAGGUAUUCCGGUAGACGAUGGGG
rnacentral:rRNA from 1 species